UACGGGAGGCAGCAGUAGGGAAUCUUCCGCAAUGGACGAAAGUCUGACGGAGCAACGCCGCGUGAACGAUGAAGGCUUUCGGGUCGUAAAGUUCUGUUGUUAGGGAAGAACAAGUACCGGAGUAACUGCCGGUACCUUGACGGUACCUAACCAGAAAGCCACGGCUAACUACGUGCCAGCAGCCGCGGUAAUACGUAGGUGGCAAGCGUUGUCCGGAAUUAUUGGGCGUAAAGCGCGCGCAGGCGGUCCUUUAAGUCUGAUGUGAAAGCCCACGGCUCAACCGUGGAGGGUCAUUGGAAACUGGGGGACUUGAGUGCAGAAGAGGAGAGUGGAAUUCCACGUGUAGCGGUGAAAUGCGUAGAGAUGUGGAGGAACACCAGUGGCGAAGGCGACUCUCUGGUCUGUAACUGCGCUGAGGCGCGAAAGCGUGGGGAGCGAACAGGGAUUAGAUACC
rnacentral:rRNA from 1 species